ensembl:lncRNA
AAUACAAGUCUUGAGAUAAGAAUAUUAUCUCAGAUUAUCUGAGUGAGCCAAUUUUAGCACACAAGUUCUUAACAGUGGAGAACUCUUCCCACCUGCGUUCAGAGAGGGAGCGAUGUCAUAACAGAAGAAGAAUCACAGAGAUUCUACAUUACUGACAUUGAAGAUGGAGGAAGGAGGUCAAGACCCAAGGAAUGUGGAGACUAUUUAGCAACUGGAAAAGCACUUGGCUGAUGUGCAAGACACUCACUGGCACUUACCUACAAAUGACACUGGCACUCAUCUGCAAACGGAUUUCAGUGGUUCCCAGAGGGUCGUUUCCUGGUUUUAAACAGACAUGGAAAUACAGUGUCUUGGAGUGGAAGGAAUUUCAGUUCAGUCAGAAGAGAAAUGCUAGAGGCACCUGUCUGUUGGAAUGCAUUUAAGAGGAACACCUAUUUUUAACAACUAUCUGCACAUGGAAAAGCACCAUCACAAGAAUCAAAACUCAAGUGAACAAUCAUAACACAUCUUAAUACUGAAAGAGGCAUUGAAAAGGGUCAGAGAGACAGCCUUGAAUCUAUACCAUUACCUCUCCCCAUCUUCCCACCCCUGCAGCAGCCACGUGGCAUGAAGAAUCUGUGCACUUGUGGGAGGGAGAGCACAGAAACGGAAAUUUUACAUUGAACUUAGUGUUGCCUUGUCAUAGUAUAGAGCAAAGCCAAGCUGGGCUCAGUCAGUGCCCACUCAUGGAGGGAGCAUUUGUACAAGACUUGGCUAGAGGGGAAUCACCCAUCUCAGCAGUUGAAACUUGAAUUUCUAGCAAGCCUUGCCACCACAGACCAAAGUGCUCUGGUGUUCUAGGUAAACUUGAAAGGCAGUCUAGGACAUAAGGACUAUAAUUCCUAGGCAACUCCUCAUGCUGGACUGGACUCAGAUCCAGAAGACUAGGUUGGCACAUGGCCUAAGGAGACACUAGCUGAGGUGACUAAGGGAGUGCUUAUGACACUCCUCCCACAGGAGUGCGCUCUGCAGCAAUGAAAGUUACUGCUUCCUUCUGCUUAAGGAAAGGAGAGCAAUGGAUAAAGAAGACCUUCUCUUGCAUCUUGGAUACCAGCUCAGCCACUGGAGACAGGGCACCAGGCAGAGUCAUGAAGCUCUCAUUUCAAGCCCUAGCUCAUGGACCACAUUUCUAGACACACCCUGGGCCAACAAGGAGCCAGUUGCCUUGCAGGGAAGGGCCUAGUCCUCCAGGAUUCAUCACCUGCUGACUAUAGAGCCCACUGAAUAACCAGCAGUGAUACCAAGAUAGUAAUCCAUGGGCCUUGGGCUUUGGAAUAAGCUGACUACAGGUGUGACCCAGCACAUUGCCAGUUAUAGCAGCUAGAGUGAAAGACUCCAUCUUCUUAAGAAAAGCAGAAGGAAAUGUGAAGGGAACUUUGUCUUGCAAGUUAGAUAACAGCUCAACCACAAUGGGGUAGAGAAACAAGUAGGCCCUUUGGGUCACCAAGUCCAGGCCUAGGCUCUUGGACAGCAUUUUUGGACCUUCUCUGGGCCAGAGUGGGGCCUGAUGCUCUGGAGGAUUAGUCCCAGCCCUUGCAGAAUUCACCACAAGCUGACUGAAGAGCUCUUGGCCUUUAUGUAAACAUUGGCAGUGGCCUGGCAGAACCCCUUUGGACCAGUGGUGGUAGUGUCCGAGGCUCCUCUGCCUCUGGAAAGGGGAAGGAAGAGUAGGUAGGACUUUGUAUUGUGGUUUGAAUGCCAGCUUAGCCAGAGUAGAAUAGAAUAUAAGGCAAAUUUCUAGGUUUUUUACUUUAAUGCCCGGCACACAGACAGCCUCUUUGGACCUACCUGGGUCCUAGGGUAACUCAUCACCCUAAAGGGAAGGACACAAACUUGGCUGGCUUCACCAUCUGAUGAUCAUAGAGCUCUAGGGCCUUGAGUGAACAUAGAGGGUAGCCAGGUAGUGGUUACAGUGGGGCUUGGGCAAGCCCCAGUGCAAUGCUGUCUUCAAGGCUGGCCUAGUGUGGUCCCUGUGGUGGUGGCCUUAGCGGUGCUUGCAUCAUCACAUCCCCAUUUUCAGGCUGUUCAGCACAGAUAGAGAGACUUCACUUGUUUGGGAGAAAGUAAGGGAAACAACAACAUUUUCCGCCUGGUAAACCAGAGAAUUACUCCAGAUCUUAUUCAAAACCCCCAAAGGGAUACAUCUGUAAGUCUGCAGAAGCAACAGCAUUAUUGGGCUUUGGGCCCAAGUCGAUUUGAAUACCUAGAAAGUCUUCUCAAGAAGGAUGAGCACAAACAAACCCAGACUGUGAAGACUACAAAAAAUAUGUAACUCUUCACUGCCCAGACACUGUCAAACAUCCACAAGCAUCAAGACAUCCAGAAAAACAUGACAUCACCAAACAAAUGAAAUAAGAUACCAGGGACCAAUCCUGGAGAAACAGAUAUGUGACGUUUCACAUGAAGAAUUCAAAACAGCUGUUUUGAGGAAAUAAAGAAAUCCAGGAUAGCACAGAGAAGAAAUUCAGAAUUUGAUCAGAUAAAUUUAACAAAAAAUAUUGAGAUAAUUAAAAAGAAUCAAGCAGAAAUUCUAGAGUUGAAAAAUGCAGUUGACAUCCUGAAAAAUGCAUCAGAGUCUCAGUAGCAGAAUUAAUCAGACAAAAGAAAGAUUCAUGAGUUUAAGUCUAUUUGAAAAUACACAGGCAGAUGAGACAAAUGAAAAGAAUAAAAAGUAUAAAACAUGCCUAUGAGAUUUAGAACAUAGCAUCAAAAGGGC